GUGUGUGUGUGUGUGUGUGUGUUUGUGUGUGUGUGUGCGUGUGCGUUUGUGUUUGUGUGUGUGUGCGGAGGAUCCUCAAAGUCAAUAACUAUCUUCACUAUCUCAGAGUACAGUGGCCAGAGGCACACAGUAGCCACUAGCUAUCAGUGUGGGCAGAUCAACACAAAACCAUUUACUCUUCGUGGCAAUUGGAAAGAGGACAACAUGACAUAUCUACCAUCAAUAAAGUGGUUCUUAACAUGUGGCUCUACAAGAUGAUUCUGAAGUGGUGUUCGUGCUACAGGUUUUUGCGCGGUCAGCUGUGUUUACACUGCAGGAUGCUCAAUCAUCCUGCUAACUCUGAAGUCAAACCUGUCCAGUGUUGGGGGGCUGCAGCGCCGGCGUGUCAUAACCACAAACAGGGUGGUUAUGGCGAUGAGUGCCCAUGAGGACCCAGGUUUGAUUCCAGCCUAAGGUCAUCUCUCUAUCACACUCAUUUCUGCUCGUAUCUUCACUGUCCUAUUCAAUAAAGGCUGGAAAAGCCCAAAAAUAAAACAAAAAAUAGAAAAUAAAAUAAAAACUUGUCCAGUGCUGACUAUCAAACAGACUAGGGCCAGAUCAGGGCCGCAUCUACUCCAGUGCACUGCUGUCUCAAAUAGGUCAAAUUUGACCUUUGACUUAUGAGGGCUCAAGAGGAAACAAAAAAGAGCAAAUGUGACUUUAUUUCUUUAUUUGUUGUUUGCGCUCCCUUUUUCACGCAAUACCUGCCAGAUCUACCCAAAGGAUCAUGGGAGUUUAAAUGUUUGAGAGAGGUGGUACAGUCGAACGUAGACUCUGCUCCUUAGGUGAGAUCUGACUUGACUUGUGUGUCGGUAGUGUAAAGCAGGGCAAAAAAAAAAAAAAAACAGACAAGAAGUUUUUUGACGUUGUCAAGAAAGUUUCUCUGCCUUGGGAGUCAGCAGUGUACUACAACAGUAGCUUUCUUGACAAGAAAGUCUGCAUUCCUCUGUGUACUUACACAGCAGUUUCACAACCACCCCAUAACAAGGAAGUGAGUUCAAUGUCAUGGCACUGUUUACCUCAACCCGAGCACAACAUCUUGGACUGUGCUGAUGGAUUAUCUCUUCCUGAGAGUGCCGGGGCCACUGCCAUCAAAGCGCUUCGGUGGCUGCUCUCUACGCCGGAAACCAUUUCCAGUGGCUUUUUUCUUUUUUUUUAAAAUCCAUGUAUACGUUAAACGGAGAGCACUAUCUAACAAUUCCCAGAACUGAGACGCAGUACGACAUCUGUCUGCUCCUGGGUAGCGGCUCUUUUAUCAAGCGGAAAAGGAAGCCCUGGGGACCCUUCGCAGGAAAGGAGCUUCAGAAGAGGCCUGGGUCCCACGGGAACGCCCCUGAAUCCACAAUCGGCACCUGUGAGGGAUGUGCGCCAAAAAAAACGCUGUGCCUGGCUAGCGCAUCAAAGUUUGCGUUCGGGAUCGUGCGGUGCACGCUUGGUGAGUGUUGACCUUGAUUCAGCACUGCCUUAUAAAAGAAACAAAAAAAAAACACCUCAGCUGGGUACGUUUGUGCGCACGUGCGUGCGUGUGUGUGUUUUAAAUUUGAUACAUUAACCCUGAAUGACAUCAAAAGGCCUAUUCAUGAUCGUGCUUCGUAGCAGCCUUUUGAAGAUUGGCAUAAACAGCUGUGUGUAGUGCACUGAGAAAGAGAGGAGGAAGGAUCUAAUUAGGAAGAGCAGGCUAGUUGACUCAACCUUAGAUAUGAUGUUGAUACAUGAGAAGGGAAUCAGUGCAGGAAAAGUUAAAGGAGGUUUCUGUCUAUUGCUAGAAACAUCACAAAGGCAAAUAUGGGCAAAUAUGUCGAUCUUUGUGUACAACUUGCCGUAGAACAAUGCGUACACACAAUCCCAUGAUUUGUGUACGGAGGUGUUUCACCAAUCUUCAAACACAACGUAUGUACAUUGUACGCCCAUUCUCUUCAUGAAUCUGAAAGCGACUCAAAUCAGCCUUUAAAUCAUGUGCACAUGAACGUGCUUAACGUCCACCCCCACGAUUAUCC
ensembl:lncRNA